rnacentral:misc_RNA from 1 species
CAACCCUCAAGCUCCGGCUUGGUGUUGGGGAUCGGCAGCCCGGCUUCGCGCCGUCGCCGUCCCCCAAAUGCAGUGGCGGUCACGCUGUAGCUUCCUAUGCGUAGAACACCUCGCACUGGAAAGCAGCACGGCCACGCCGUAAAACCCCCAACUUUUUGU